CGCAUUGAUGAAGAACGCAGCGAAAUGCGAUACUUGGUGUGAAUUGCAGAAUCCCGUGAACCAUCGAGUCUUUGAACGCAAGUUGCGCCCGAAGCCAUUCGGCUGAGGGCACGUCUGCCUGGGCGUCACGUUUCGCGUCGCCUCCCCCACCCACUCCCCACGGGGCGGUUGGGUGUCGGGGGCGGAAAUUGGCCCCCCGUGCGUUUUUUCGCGCGGCCGGCCUAAAUGUGAACCCGUGGCGACUCGCGUCACGACAAGUGGUGGUUGAACACUCAACUCUCGUGUUGUCGUGGCGUUUUGAGUUGGCCUCCGGGCUUCGUCGCAGACCCAACGGCGCGAUCCAAUCGCGCCUUCGACCGCGACCCCAGGUCAGG
rnacentral:misc_RNA from 1 species